rnacentral:rRNA from 1 species
CAAUAGCGUAUAUUAAAGUUGUUGCGGUUAAAAAGCUCGUAGUUGGAUUUCUGCUGAGGACGAUCGGUCCGCCCUCUGGGUGAGUAUCUGGCUCGGCCUUGGCAUCUUCUUGGAGAACGUUACUGCACUUGACUGUGUGGUGCGGUAUCCAGGACUUUUACUUUGAGGAAAUUAGAGUGUUUCAAGCAGGCGCACGCCUUGAAUACAUUAGCAUGGAAUAAUAAGAUAGGACCUUGGUUCUAUUUUGUUGGUUUCUAGAGCUGAGGUAAUGAUUAAUAGGGAUAGUUGGGGGCAUUCGUAUUUAACUGUCAGAGGUGAAAUUCUUGGAUCUGUUAAAGACGGACUACUGCGAAAGCAUUUGCCAGGGAUGUUUUCAUUGA